GCAUUAAUGGGGUAGUGGUAACCUGGGUCGUUGCCAUUCGCGCGAAUUCGACCCGCCGGGGGUUCGAUUCCCUCUUAAUGCA
rnacentral:tRNA from 1 species